rnacentral:rRNA from 1 species
AGAGUUUGAUCAUGGCUCAGAUUGAACGCUGGCGGCAGGCUUAACACAUGCAAGUCGAGCGGGAAUAGGUAGCUUGCUACUGAUUUCUAGCGGCGGACGGGUGAGUAAAGCUUAGGAAUCUGCCAUUUAGUGGGGGACAACAUUCCGAAAGGAAUGCUAAUACCGCAUACGUCCUACGGGAGAAAGCAGGGGAUCGUAAGACCUUGCGCUAAAUGAUGAGCCUAAGUCGGAUUAGCUAGUUGGUGGGGUAAAGGCCUACCAAGGCGACGAUCUGUAGCGGGUCUGAGAGGAUGAUCCGCCACACUGGGACUGAGACACGGCCCAGACUCCUACGGGAGGCAGCAGUGGGGAAUAUUGGACAAUGGGCGGAAGCCUGAUCCAGCCAUGCCGCGUGUGUGAAGAAGGCCUUUUGGUUGUAAAGCACUUUAAGCGAGGAGGAGGCUACUCUAGAUAAUACCUAGAGAUAGUGGACGUUACUCGCAGAAUAAGCACCGGCUAACUCUGUGCCAGCAGCCGCGGUAAUACAGAGGGUGCGAGCGUUAAUCGGAUUUACUGGGCGUAAAGCGUGCGUAGGCGGCUGAUUAAGUCGGAUGUGAAAUCCCUGAGCUUAACUUAGGAAUUGCAUUCGAUACUGGUCAGCUAGAGUAUGGGAGAGGAUGGUA